rnacentral:lncRNA from 1 species
CAUACAAAGGUAAUGGAGGUUAUGCAUGGACAUAGGAUUUUUGAAGUCAGUUUAUGUCAGGCUAUGCAAGGUGGCUUGAGACGGACACAUUUGUUUUUAAACAAAGCUCUGGGAAGAAUGAAUUUCGGAACACGGAGUUCCUUCUGAGGCCACAUCAGGGACCAAAUGUAACUAUGAUAUCCUUUCAGGCUCAGCUAAUGAAGAUCCCAGAUCAGCUAAUGAUCACCCAGUGCUUGAUUCACAGAUGUCUAUAUCCUACAGUGUCACAUGCAAGAUGUUGCAAAGCCGGUAACCGAAAAUUCCACUGAAACCUUAAGCUCCCAGCCCCAAGUGACUGCCUUGCCUCUUUCUAGCCUCAUGGCUUUCCCACAGCUCCUGGACAAGCAAGAUGGAUGCUUCUCACCUAUUUUCACAAGAACACUUCAUGAAAGAGGAGGACAUCUCACUCAACACAGAGACAGCCAAGUGGCCAAGCAUACAUCACAAUGGAUGGCACACUUAAACCUCAGCUUGACUCUCAUAGGUCUGCAGAUCAGAAAGACUGCAGACUCAAGUUUUACUUUGAGAUUUAUUUUAUGUCGCUGUCUCCAGACACACC